rnacentral:rRNA from 1 species
CUACGGGGCGCACCAGUGAGGAAUAUUGCACAAUGGGGGGAACCCUGAUGCAGCAACGCCGCGUGGAGGAUGACGCAUUUCGGUGUGUAAACUCCUUUUAUAUGUCAAGAAAAUGACGGUAGCAUAUGAAUAAGCACCGGCUAACUCCGUGCCAGCAGCCGCGGUAAUACGGAGGGUGCAAGCGUUACUCGGAAUCACUGGGCGGAAAGGGCGCGUAGGCGGGUUGGAAAGUCAGGUGUGAAAUCCUACAGCUUAACUGUAGAACUGCACUUGAAACUUCUAAUCUAGAGUAUGGGAGGGGGAGAUGGAAUUAGUGGUGUAGGGGUAAAAUCCGUGGAUAUCACUAGGAAUACCUAAAGCGAAGGCGAUCUCCUGGAACAUUACUGACGCUAAGGCGUGAAAGCGUGGGGAGCAAACAGGAUUAGAUACCCUUGUAGUC